UACGUAGGGGGCAAGCGUUGUCCGGAAUCAUUGGGCGUAAAGAGCUCGUAGGCGGCUUGUCGCGUCGGAUGUGAAAACCCGGGGCUCAACCUCGGGCCUGCAUUCGAUACGGGCAGGCUGGAGUUCGGCAGGGGAGACUGGAAUUCCUGGUGUAGCGGUGAAAUGCGCAGAUAUCAGGAGGAACACCGGUGGCGAAGGCGGGUCUCUGGGCCGAUACUGACGCUGAGGAGCGAAAGCGUGGGGAGCGAACAGG
rnacentral:rRNA from 1 species